GAGGUCUUGGUGGAAGUCGGUGUGACGAUAUCAAGGGGCGGGGCCGAAGCAGCCCAGGGGGCGGGUGUUUGAAAUCAGUGCCUUAGAGUAGACCCUAAAUAUCAUUUUAUACCUUGGAGAACCAAUUACUUAAUGUCUCUUCCGUCUUUUCCUUUCCCGACCCCCUCCCAGACUCCUCCAUUCCGGUUCUGCGUGGAUGGGAAGCCCCGGGUAGCCGACACCACGUCCCCGGCUAGGAUUACACCAAACUGUUUAAAUUCAACGGCUCCUGCUUCCAUCCUUUCUCCUGAGGUAGACCCAACAAGCCUAGGGAGUUGGGCUACGGAAAAACUAGUUUUCAUUUAAUUGGAUAUGAAGAAAGAACAAAUAUGUUACGGGGGCAACCACGAUCUUUAUAAAGGUACCAUUCCUGCAAAAAUAUUAGACUUCAAAGCAAAGAUUUUGUUUUAGAUACUUCCAUGAAGACACACUUGUAUAUCUGAGUCAUCCACCCAGGUCUGGGUAAUUCAGUAGAACUCAAGAGGACAGAACCAGGUACCAACUGAGGAAAAUAAUAGAGUUGCAGGCUGAGUGACCAUUGGCAUCUAGGCAAACCUGCUUCCUGGACAAUACUCAUCAGUCAAGAAGCCCAAGAAAGAUUAUUAUUUCAUGUGCAAAAAGUUGACUGGUAGAUCCUGUUGCCUCAUACCUACAGCAACUCAAAAUUAAAAAGUAGAAUUUUCCUGCAUCCUCAACUACCUAGAACAUAUCUAAAAACUGGGAGGUUGCUUUCCAUUAAUUUGAAACUAUGAAGUCUAAGAACAGAUGUGCUGAGAAUCCAAGCUGUAACAUAAUGAUAUUUCAUCCAACCAAAGAAGAGUUUAAUGAUUUUGAUAAAUAUAUUACUUACA
rnacentral:lncRNA from 1 species